ensembl:lncRNA
AUAAAACAAACCCUUAGCAUGUUCAGAGUACUCUACAAUAGUUAAUUUAACACAGGGAGUAUUAAAAGAAAGUCAGAUUUUAAGUGUUCUAAUGCCCAGGCUUGUAGUCGGUAUGACGUUUAGCCUAGUUAGGUUGUUCAGUGGUUGUUGCUGUUUUUUUUUUUUCUUCUAAAAAUGGAAGCCUUUUUUUAGGGAGCUACAUAGCACCUUUAAUGGCUUCCCCAAAGAAACAAGCCAAAAUGGUUCAGCUUUACUCAAGGGUACUUUGACUAGGUUUUAUACAGAACCAUUCAGAAUGCCCAUGUGGGAUACAUCGAAGAAUCGUUUAGGAUUCUAAUGAAAGAUUAUAGAGCCACUUGCUUGAGAGCCUCAGUUAUCUAUCUGGGACAGGACAGCGCACUUCGGGAUUUCUGGUAAACAUAAGCAUAUCAAAGAAUCAUUUAAACUUACCCACAGGAAUCUUUGGCUGGUCUUUCUGCUUUUGAUUGGACAGACACAUGGACACAGGGCAAUAUGUUUACUUAUGGUUUAUUUCAAUGCCAAGACCUGAAGUUUUUUUCUGUUGAUUUAUGCAAAUUAACAGACAAAUGCAACCUCUAUAAUCAGUUGGCUUUUUUCCCAAUUCUGUAAACACUAUUGGAUUGAUAUAGUUUAUAGUGCACUUUGUUCUCCAAAGAGAAUGUGAAGAAAGCAGUAGUUUGUCAAAAUCAAAGCCCCAAUAAAAAUGUGUUUCUUCUUUGACUACCCUCAUUCUUCCUGAAUGUGUUCAUACUUUCCUCAUUAAUGUCCACUGAAGCAACCUAUACUAGAGCUUCUCAGAGUAAAAACGCUUUUCUUCAAGCAUGCCAGCUAUUUGCUAAGAAAAAAUGUGUAGCUUUUGGAAAAGGUUCAGUUGUUGGUCCCCAAAGGGAGGCCAGAUUACAUUUUAGCCUUUGUGCUCCACACUUUUGACUUUUCCACAAUCCAUCUUACCAUGUCUUCUUUCUUCCUUCCCUUCCUUUGUCACAAGUUCAAAGGAUCCAUCCAUGUGUCUUUCUUGGUCCUCAAAGAUCUAAUUUUUUGCACCUAAAACUUGUCUCUAAUUCUUCAAUAAUAAUAAAGAGGUUUGUCCAUUUGUUGACUUUUUUUUUUUUUUUUUUUUUUUUAAAUAAUUAGAGUACAGCAAGGAUUUUUUUUAUUAACUACUGAUCAUUGAACUCAUUUAUUCUUUCAAAGUGUUUCUCUCUCAGCUCCUUUUGCAGUCCCCUCACACAGAAACCGCUGGUAUUCAGGCCCCUCAGCUGUGAUUCCUGUGCUGUGAGGAGAGCCAAAAGGGAACCAAUCCAGUGCUGAACUUUUAGCUUAUCAUGGAAAUGUUUAUUAAGCUCAAGGUUGAUGGAUGUCCCGGGGCUGACUCUGUGCAGCAUUACUUUGUAAUGAGCAUUGGGACAACAAACAGUGCAUGCUGAAGUUUAUAAUGCCACAGUUCACUUGAGGAACACACAGACAGAUAUAAAGCCAUUUAAGCAUGCUUUCAACUGUUUUUCCAUAUUGUGAAAAUAGUCGUUGACAAAACAAUGAAUUUUUAAAAUGAUCUGUGUAAGAUUCCUACAUUUGGUUCUUAGUGUUGGUUAAGUGUUAAAAAGCCAGGCCUCAGUGUAUUCAAUGUUUUUAUUGCCUUAUUCUAAGUUUGUUU